rnacentral:rRNA from 1 species
UGGGGAAUAUUGGGCAAUGGGCAAAAGCCUGACCCAGCGACGCCGCGUGGGGGAAGAAGGUCUUCGGAUCGUAAACCCUUGUUGAGGGGGGCGAUGGGCACAUAUGCUAAUACCAUAUGUGCUUGACGGUACCUCUUGAGGAAGCCCCGGCUAACUCCGUG